rnacentral:rRNA from 1 species
UGGGGAAUAUUGGACAAUGGGCGCAAGCCUGAUCCAGCCAUGCCGCGUGAGUGAUGAAGGCCUUAGGGUUGUAAAGCUCUUUCGCCGGUGAAGAUAAUGACGGUAACCGGAGAAGAAGCCCCGGCUAACUUCGUGCCAGCAGCCGCGGUAAUACGAAGGGGGCUAGCGUUGCUCGGAAUCACUGGGCGUAAAGCGCACGUAGGCGGGUCGUUAAGUCAGAGGUGAAAGCCUGGAGCUCAACUCCAGAACUGCCUUUGAUACUGGCGACCUCGAGUUCGAGAGAGGUUGGUGGAACUCCGAGUGUAGAGGUGAAAUUCGUAGAUAUUCGGAAGAACACCAGUGGCGAAGGCGGCCAACUGGCUCGAUACUGACGCUGAGGUGCGAAAGCGUGGGGAGCAAACAGG